CUGCUGCUCCCUCUGCUCCUUCUUCCCUCCCCACAUGUUGCGAAACCACCGCGCCGCCCUGCCCAUCUCGCCGGACCUCACCGACUCCGGCCGGCGUCGACAGGUGGCGCUCCGGUCACCAAGCUAGCACCGACCGAGGCGUCUAAAAAGAAAAAAAAAGGAGAGAUUUGAAUAAGAGAGGGAAACUGCAGGGGAGGGGAGGGGAGGGGAGGCGCGUGGUUGGCGUCUCGUUCGAAAUAAAAGAAGAGGAGGAGGUCGGCCACCACCACCAAUGCGGCAGCCAUUACCGGACAAACAAAGCACCUCUCUUUCUCUCUCUCCCUCUCUCUCUAUCUCUCUCACUCUCAUGGAUUAAUUAAGCAUAAAGAAAUGGAUUAGG
rnacentral:lncRNA from 1 species